rnacentral:rRNA from 1 species
UGGGGAAUCUUCCGCAACGGCGAAAAGUCUGACGGAGCAACGCCGCGUGAGUGAAGAAGGUUUUCGGAUCGUAAAAACUCUGUCUUUUGGGGCGAACGUGAGUAUGGUGAACGGAUCAUAGUCAGUGACGGUACCAAAGGAGGAAGCCACGGCUAACUACGUGCCAGCAGCCGCGGUAAUACGUAGGUGGCAAGCGUUGUCCGGAAUUAUUGGGCGUAAAGAGCGCGUAGGCGGGAUAGUCAGUCUGUUGUAAAAGUGCGGGGCUCAACCCCGUGAUGGCAAUGGAAACAGCUAUUCUUGAGUGCAGGAGAGGAAAGUGGAAUUCCCAGUGUAGCGGUGAAAUGCGUAGAUAUUGGGAGGAACACCAGUGGCGAAGGCGACUUUCUGGACUGUGUCUGACGCUGAGGCGCGAAAAGCCAGGGGGAGCGAACGGGGAUUAGAUACCCCCGGUAGUCCUGGGCCGUAAAACGAUGGGUACUAGGUGUGGGAGGUAUCGACCCCCUUCCCGUGCCGGAGUUAACGCAAAUAAGUACCCCCGCCUGGGGGAGUACGGUCGCAAGACUGAAAACUCAAAUGAAUUGACGGGGGUCAUAGCUGUUUUCCUG